rnacentral:rRNA from 1 species
GACGAACGCUGGCGGCGCGCUUAACACAUGCAAGUCGAACGGAAAGGCCUGCUUUCCCUUGUGGAUUGCGGGUACUCGAGUGGCGAACGGGUGAGUAACACGUGAGUGAUCUGCCCCCAACUUGGGUAUAAGCCUGGGAAACUGGGUCUAAUUCCCGAUAGGACUGCAGGGUGGUGCCUGUGGUGGAAAACGAUUUUCUAGUGGUUGGGGAUGAGCUCGCGGCCUAUCAGCUUGUUGGUGGGGUAAUGGCCUACCAAGGCGGCGACGGGUAGCCGGCCUGGGAGGGUGGACGGCCACAUUGGGACUGGGAUACGGCCCAGACUCCGACGGGAGGAAGCAGUGGGGAAUAUUGCACAAUGGGCGGAAGCCUGAUGCAGCGACGCCGCGUGGGGGAUGACGGCCUUCGGGUUGUAAACUCCUUUCGACCGCGAGGAAGCCACCUGGUUGGAAGGGUGGUGACGGUAGUGGUAGAAGAAGCACCGGCUAACUACGUG